AGCAGCGUGGCUCAGUGGAAAGAGCCUGGGCUUCGGAGUCAUAGGUCAUGGGUUCGACUCCCGGCUCUGCCA
rfam:Ornithorhynchus anatinus chromosome 7, whole genome shotgun sequence.